rnacentral:tRNA from 1 species
GAAAUGCUGUCUGAGUAUAAAAACAACAAAAAACCUCAGUAAUAUUUCACAUUUUGACAGUUCUCGGUGCUUA